rnacentral:tRNA from 1 species
UGCGGGGUAGAGCAGAGGCAGCUCGUCGGGCUCAUAACCCGGAGGUCAUAGGUUCGAAUCCUAUCCCCGCUA